AGAUCAGUGUAAGCCAAUGAAGGGAGCAGUUGUAUAUUGGCUCAGUAAGCAGGGAAGAAGACUUUUAAGGCAUCCUUAUAAGGUGGAGGCAUGUAUCAUGUAAUAAAAUGAUUCAGAGGAGCAUUUCAUCACUUUGAUUAGGAUCUUGUGUCACAGAGUUAUUGCAGAGAUGCUGACACGAAGGGCUAUAGAGGAAGCAGUUAUGGGAGGACUUCCUCUGAGGUGUGGAUGCCCAAGGAACCCUUGCCUCACAGAUCAGCAGCUGACCAGCAGCAUCUUUCAGUUUCCACUGAAUGGCCUAGCAGCUUAUGUCUACUUUUCUACUGUGCUCUGGCUCCCACCUAUUGCAGUUCUGGCUGGAAAGAAACCAGGUGGAGAGGUUGUCCCAUGCCCUCAUGUCACUGGGAUCCCACCCAGCCUGCAGGCAUGGCUGCACAAGUGCUUGAAUCUCUCAGUAGGGCUUAGACUAAAUACUUUCCAUAGGUUUUUUUAUUCCUCAUUUUCAGGCCUGACUCAUUUUGAUAGGCUUAGAGGCCUACUUCAUGUGUGCUUAUGCUGGCAGAAGAAAUUAAUUUGCUGCUGACAGAGGAAGAUGAGGAUAGAGGGACAUUGCUCAGGUACAGCCAGAUCAGCGGAUGGCCCAGUGCUUAAAUUGCUAACGCUGUGUCUACACAACUGCUCUCACUUUUGCCACUGCAUACCAUAGAAUUACCAUAGAGUGCAAUUGAAAUAUAUUGCAGACAGCAGGAGGAGACCAAAGCUUGUUCAGGGAAAAAGAUAUGCUGCC